rnacentral:rRNA from 1 species
GACGAACGCUGGCGGCGUGCUUAACACAUGCAAGUCGAACGGAAAGGCCCUGCUUUUGUGGGGUGCUCGAGUGGCGAACGGGUGAGUAACACGUGAGUAACCUGCCCUUGACUUUGGGAUAACUUCAGGAAACUGGGGCUAAUACCGGAUAGGAGCUCCUGCUGCAUGGUGGGGGUUGGAAAGUUUCGGCGGUUGGGGAUGGACUCGCGGCUUAUCAGCUUGUUGGUGGGGUAGUGGCUUACCAAGGCUUUGACGGGUAGCCGGCCUGAGAGGGUGACCGGCCACAUUGGGACUGAGAUACGGCCCAGACUCCUACGGGAGGCAACAGUGGGGAAUAUUGCACGAUGGGCGGAAGCCUGAUGCAGCAACGCCGCGUGCGGGAUGACGGCCUUCGGGUUGUAAACCGCUUUCGCCUGUGACGAAGCGUGAGUGACGGUAAUGGGUAAAGAAGCACCGGCUAACUACGUG